AGAGUUUGAUCCUGGUUCAGGAUGAACGCUAGGCGGCAGGGUUAACACAUGCAAGUCGAGGGGCAGCAUGUCCAGCAAUGGGAUGAUGGCGACCGGCGAAAGGGUGCGUAACGCGUGAGCAACAUGCCCUAUACAGGGAGAUACACCAGGGAAACUUGGUCUAAUAUCCCAUAGCAUUCAUGAAAGGCAUCUUUAAUGAAUUAAAGCUUCGGUGGUAUAGGAUUGGCUCGCGUGACAUUAGCCAGAUGGUGAGGUAACGGCUCACCAUAGCAAUGAUGUCUAGGGGUUUUGAGAGGAAGGCCCCCCACACUGGGACUGAGACACGGCCCAGACUCCUACGGGAGGCAGCAGUGAGGAAUAUUGGACAAUGGAUGGAAAUCUGAUCCAGCCAUGCCGCGUGCAGGAAGACGGCCUUAUGGGUUGUAAACUGCUUUUAUACGGGAGCAAUAAGGGUUACGAGUAAUCCGAUGAGAGUACUGUAUGAAUAAGGAUCGGCUAACUCCGUGCCAGCAGCCGCGGUAAUACGGAGGAUCCGAGCGUUAUCCGGAAUUAUUGGGUUUAAAGGGUGCGUAGGCGGCCAUUUAAGUCAGCGGUGAAAUUUUGCAGCUUAACUGUAACAGUGCCGUUGAUACUGUUUGGCUAGGAUUUGGUUGUAGUGUGCGGAAUGUGUGGUGUAGCGGUGAAAUGCUUAGAUAUCACACAGAACACCGAUUGCGAAGGCAGCACACUAAGUCAUUAUUGACGCUGAGGCACGAAAGUGUGGGGAUCAAACAGGAUUAGAUACCCUGGUAGUCCACACUGUAAACGAUGAUAACUCGCUGUCGGCGAUACACAGUCGGGGCCAAGCGAAAGC
rnacentral:rRNA from 1 species